GGCGGAUUAUCAAGUCUCUUGUGAAAUCUAAUGGCUUAACCAUUAAACUGCUUGGGAAACUGAUAGUCUAGAGUGAGGGAGAGGCAGAUGGAAUUGGUGGUGUAGGGGUAAAAUCCGUAGAUAUCACCAAGAAUACCCAUUGCGAAGGCGAUCUGCUGGAACUCAACUGACGCUAAGGCGCGAAAGCGUGGGGAGCAAACAGGAUUAGAUACCCUGGUAGUCCACGCCCUAAACGAUGUACACUAGUUGUUGGGAUGCUAGUCAUCUCAGUAAUGCAGCUAACGCAUUAAGUGUACCGCCUGGGGAGUACGGUCGCAAGAUUAAAACUCAAAGGAAUAGACGGGGACCCGCACAAGCGGUGGAGCAUGUGGUUUAAUUCGAAGAUACGCGAAGAACCUUACCUGGGCUUGAUAUCCUAAGAACCUUAUAGAGAUAUGAGGGUGCUAGCUUGCUAGAACUUAGAGACAGGUGCUGCACGGCUGUCGUCAGCUCGUGUCGUGAGAUGUUGGGUUAAGUCCCGCAACGAGCGCAACCCACGUAUUUAGUUGCUAACGGUUCGGCCGAGCACUCUAAAUAGACUGCCUUCGUAAGGAGGAGGAAGGUGUGGACGACGUCAAGUCAUCAUGGCCCUUAUGCCCAGGGCGACACACGUGCUACAAUGGCAUAUACAAUGAGACGCAAUACCGCGAGGUGGAGCAAAUCUAUAAAAUAUGUCCCAGUUCGGAUUGUUCUCUGCAACUCGAGAGCAUGAAGCCGGAAUCGCUAGUAAUCGUAGAUCAGCCAUGCUACGGUGAAUACGUUCCCGGGUCUUGUACUCACCGCCCGUCACACCAUGGGAGUUGAUUUCACUCGAAGCCGGAAUACUAAACUAGUUACCGUCCACAGUGGAAUCAGCGACUGGGGUGAAGUCGUAACAAGGUAACCGUAGGAGAACCUGCGGUUGGAUCACCUCCUUUCUA
rnacentral:rRNA from 1 species